rnacentral:lncRNA from 1 species
GAUUUAACCUCGUUUGUAUAGAAGGCUCAAAAUAAUGCGAACAGAAAGUUGAUAUUUCUUCUAUGAUGUAAGCCUCAACAAUAGAACCUUCAAUCGAUGCUCGAUUCUUUACCUUCUGCUUUAUAUCAUGCAUAAGCCUAUAAAUAAGAUUAAUAUGUUAAUUUCUCAAAUUUAAUGGAUACAAAGAAACUAUUUAAUGGAUUUACAGAAAUUGUUACCUUUCAAAGGGGUA